rnacentral:tRNA from 1 species
GGGCGGUUAGCUCAGCGGGAGAGCGCUGUCUUCACACGGCAGAGGCCACUGGUUCGAUCCCAGUACCGCCCA